UUAGGGGUGUACGCUCUUUUGGGCGUGCUGAGAUCAUACCCUCUGAACCUGCACCGGAUCAUGCCGGCGAAGGGAAGCGAAUUUAC
rnacentral:ncRNA from 1 species